rnacentral:rRNA from 1 species
AAUCUUCCACAAUGGGCGAAAGCCUGAUGGAGCAACGCCGCGUGAGUGAAGAAGGAUUUCGGUUCGUAAAACCCUGUUGUAAGGGAAGAACAAGUACAGUAGUAACGGGCUGUACCUUGACGGCACCUUAUUAGAAAGCCACGGCCAACUACGUGCCAGCAGCCGCGGUAAUACGUAGGUGGCAAGCGUUGUCCUGAAUUAUUGGGCGUAAAGCGCGCGCAGGUGGUUUCUUAAGUCUGAUGUGAAAGCCCACGGCUCAACCGUGGAGGGUCAGUGGAAACUGGGAGACUUGAGUGCAGAAGAGGAUAGUGGAAUUCCAAGUGUAGCGGUGAAAUGCGUAGAGAUUUGGAGGAACACCAGUGGCGAAGGCGACUAUCUGGUCUGUAACUGACACUGAGGCGCGAAAGCGUGGGGAGCAAACA